ACAGCCACUUUUCUCCGAAACUAUAAGAACUAUAUUGUUGAAACUUGGUAAGUAGAUGUAUUCUGUGAACCGCAUUAAGAUUUUUACACAAAAAUAUAAAAAAAAAACAAUAAAUUUUUGGGGUUCCCCAUACUUCGAACUGAAACUCAAAUUUUUUUUUCAUCAAACUCAUACGUGUGGGGUAUCUAUGGAUAGGUCUUCAAAAAUGAUAUUGAGGUUUCUAAUAUCAUUUUUUUCUAAACUGAAUAGUUUGCGCGAGAGACACUUCCAAAGUGGUAAAAUGUGUGUCCCCCCCUGUAACUUCUAAAAUAAGAGAAUGAUAAAACUAAAAAAAAUAUAUGAUGUACAUUACCAUGUAAACUUCCACCGAAAAUUGGUUUGAACGAGAUCUAGUAAGUAGUUUUUUUUUAAUACAACUUUACUGAAACUCAAAUAUUUUUUUUUCAUCAAACUCAUACGUGUGGGGUAUCUAUGGAUAGGUCUUCAAAAAUGAUAUUUAGGUUUUUAAUAUCAUUUUUUUCUAAACUGAAUAGUUUGCGCGAGAGACACUUCCAAAGUG